rnacentral:lncRNA from 1 species
GCUCCUCCAAAGGAGUAAAUGGAGGUACAAGUCUAGGCUGAAAGACUAUAAACAUUAAGCGCUGCUUGGGAGGCAACCCAAUUCCAACGUAGCUGUGGAGGAGUCGUCAACGCAGAUUUGCUUUCUCUUUCCCUUUUACUUCUCCAAUUUUCCUUUGUUUUAGUAGUCAUUUUCGUAAAUUUCAUCCCUAUAUGCUUAAGUGUCUCAUUGCAUGCUAAUAAUUGAUUACAUUGAGGACAAUGCAAUAUUUAAGUGUGGGGGAAGGGAUUUACACUUUUAUCUUGAGUCAUAUAUAUUGAAAAAAUACAAAAAAAUUCGAAAAAUGUCAAAAAUUUAAAAAAAAUUUUGUUACUUUUGUUUUUGUUUUUGAGUCUUAGGAUGCCCUUUCAACUAUCUAGGAUGAUUCUAUAUCUCUGAAAUCAUGAUUAAAAGAGGAUCACAAAAUUGAGAUGAUUUUUAAAAUGGUAUUCUUUGGUUAAUUGAGAUAUAUGAAAAAUGCAUGCAUGUGUAGUGGAUAUGGAUUUCGUAACCUUGGUACAGAAUAUGAGCAAGUUAGGAUGAGUUUUGAUUCAUAAAAGCCCAUGUGAGAUAUUUGAGCCAUGUUCCUUUUUCUUGGAGUGAUAAUUGAAAAAUAUAUUCUUAAUUUCUUGGCGAUAUUAAGUUUGAUGGACUAGAGAAUGCUAGAAUUCACUCUUGUGCUUGUUGAAACGUUAUAUCAAUACAUGGCCCUGAUUCUGGAAAGGAUAGAGGCAACCUAGGAAUUACCACCAUUGCCAAAUAAGCAUGUGUCCCUAUUUGUGCCCGUCGUGGGACUCCCUUAGAUAAACCCCUUUGAGCUUACAUUAAGCCUUUUCUUUCAUCACCCUUAAAUCCUUAACCCUGAACCUUAGUAUAGCUACACUCAUACCCUUUGUUCUAAAAACUUAGCGGAGCUAUAUUUUGGGACUUUACUUGAGGAUUUGGCAUU